AAGAUAUUAGAAAAACUAUUUCAUGGCUUUGUCAAAGCCAAGCUAUAGGUCAAACCCUAUAUAUCUUA
rnacentral:tRNA from 1 species